rnacentral:rRNA from 1 species
ACAUGCCUACAACAUAGCGUUAAUGCAUCGAAUCCCAUUAGAAAUCUGUAGUUAAGUGUGCUCAGGCUAGAGUAGUAUUGGGAUGGGUGACAAUGGAUUAAGUAUCAAUUUUUUUCUUUUC